CUCUCCCUGCUGCGUGGCCCCGUUUGGGAGCUAAACCACACCCCUGCAUCUGACAUCAGACACGGGCUGUGUGUCUGGGAUGCCAGGCCUGGCUCCUGAGGGGUGGCAGCCUGGGUUCUUUGAAGCUAUCCGCUCGAUGGUGGCUCCUGUCCUGCGUAGUCAGUAGUUCGACUCAUAGAAGGGAUGGUCAAGAUGGGAGUCCUGUUAAAAAGAGCACAACCUCAAAAGGUCAAAAUCCAUUCUUAGUGAAGCAGCAAAGGGGGAAAAUACAUGAAACAGACUUCAAGCUCCAUUGCCAAGCACUUUAUCCAAUACUGGCAAAAAAACAGAAUGGAUUUGUACAAACACCUUUUUGCAUGCCCAGAACUGUCAUAAUGAAAUGAACUGGAAAGCUAUGGCAGACUGAAGUGCAUAAUGCACAUUUCUGGAUACAGGAAAAAUGGCCAGUAAUGUUGAUAUCCUGAACAAUGAAAGAUGCAGAGAGAUUCUCAGGCUUGGCUAACACUUUUGGGACAACUGGAGCUGCAAAAAACAAGUAACAAAUGCGGAAUCUUAGGGUCUUCUCUAUAAAGUCUCACUGGGAUUUAUGGGAGUGCUGCCAAAAAAGCAGUUUAAAGGUCUCUAGCCUUCAGUGUUUUAGAAGCCAGUGGAACUCAGAGGAUUCUGAUAAGGUGCUAGAAGAACAGUGGAUCCAGUGUGUGUGUUAAUCUGCAGCUACUCCCUGCUCUUCUGGGCCUAUAAGCAAGCCAGCACCUCGCUGAUCGGCACCCAACUUGGUUUGGAGAAGCGUGCAAGCGUCCGCUGGCUUGGGGCAUGGGGUAUGCUGUAGAGCCAGUUGCUUCUGGCACUGUGGGAAUAUUUGGCUGUUGGGCCCCCCCCCCCCACCGGCGGUCCUGCUUGUGCAUUUGGGCAAAAACUAUCUGUGGAAGCGAACAGGGCUCUCCCUGGUUCCGCAAGCUACCUCUAACAUCACCACCAUUCAUGAGUGGGUUCCUGGGGUGAUCACUGUAUGGGCCAACUCACUUCAAUGUAGAGUUUGGGGGGGGGGUUCAGAGUUUGCCAGGAGAUGAAAGGGCCAGGAAGAAAGUUAACGCUACCAUGGAAAAGCAGGGGAGGGGGCGUUUUUCCUGCAGUCGGGUAUCACAUAUUUGUUGCCUCACCUUUUUCAUCUGGAUGGGGUGCAUUUGUCCACGGCAGGGUGCAAUUUGUAUCUGGCUAACCUUUGGAGAGGGCUUGUUGCAGUCUUGGAGGGCUGUGAGGUAGGAAGGCCAAGCUAGGCUGACCUCCCUUUGUGGCAGGUACAGUGUGAGAUGGAUGGAGAUGUAUAAGGGUUUGGGAUUGGUGAACACCCUUGGACAGUUAAAAAGGGUGGAUUGGUCAAUCGGUCCUUACAGGUUUUGCAGCUCAGGGAUUUUGAUUAGCCAAAAAUUCUGCUUCAGGGCUUCAUAAACCUUCAAGGCUAAGUGGCUGGCGGGUGGGAUGAAGCCCUAGAAGUUGCCCUGAGCCUGACCCUUUGGGGUUGACAGUGAGGGGGACGAAAUGGGUUUAUCCCACUUCUAUCCUGAGUCAGGGUGUGUUGCCCAUUUUAGGCACAGGCAAGGACAGUAAUGUUCUCACCCAGCCUGUUUUGCUGAGUCUGUUUUGCACGGUUCAUUGUACCACAUUAAUGAAGUUGUGGACCUUUUUAUCCAAACCGAUUGUGUCUGUACCUUCCUUGAGACUGGGGUGUGGGGACAAUGAACAAGUCCAUAUAAAAUUACAGCAAACAUAGGAAUCAUCAUAUGGUAAAUGAUUUUUGAUGAAGCCAGUUUUGGCUGCUGAUAGUUCCUUUUUUUUCCUUUCAGAUGGCAGCAGUAAUGAUAAAAAUAAUCUCAUUUUUGACAUUCCUUUAAUUUUUAAUGUUUUGCUGGGGGGAGCAGUCUGUGUGGUCUGGAAGUAUGGUGCUUUGCUUUAACAAACAGUUUGCUUAAUAGCUGGCAAGGACAAUUUUAAUUUCUUACAUAAGUGUCUAUUGUCUGGAAGCAAUUUUCAUAUUAAUCUGACAGUCUACAUCUGUUGUCACUCGUGGCAUUAAACUGAUUUGUACGAUUCUCUGUUAUAAUUGAAUAUAUUCAGAGCAUGGGUUUUUCAUUUGCACACAGUAUUCAAGUUGAUCUUUAAUGUAAACUUUAAAAGCUCUCAUGCUUCUCAAGCUUGUAUUUAAAGUAAAUAAUGCUUAUAUAGUAAGUGAAAGUCCUAAACAUAUCUGGUUGCUUCCCAUGAGUAACACUGGACAUUACUUGAGUUGUGGCUGUGAACAAGGUCUACUCUCUGGAUUAGGAAAAUUAUUGUAAACACAAAAUAAAUGUUUUCAUGGGAA